AUGUGCAGGUCGGACAUGAGGCAAUAAAAGCUUGGCCCACCAACCACAUGGCUCCUACCGCCCUGUCAACGUAGAGCCGUGCUGUUUGAAGUCAUCACAGAUAUAAACUACACGUUGCAGCAACUCUCAAUCGCAUUCCUGCCCGUCAUGUCGAACAGCGUAGCGCUAAUUUCAGUUUGAGGUCUGCACUCUUACUACAAUGCAGAUGGUGACAGCAUCAGGCUGCACUCGGUUACCGUCGUGAAUCAUGGACCAAGACUGCACUCUUAGGCCCACUCCUUUUUGGUG